rnacentral:rRNA from 1 species
UACAGAGGGUGCGAGCGUUGUCCGGAAUCACUGGGCGUAAAGGGCGCGUAGGUGGCGACCCAAGUCGAUGGUGAAAGCUCGCCGCUCAACGGCGAGUCGGCCACCGAUACUGGGUUGCUGGAGCACUGUAGAGGCUCAUGGAAUUCCGGGUGUAGCGGUGGAAUGCGUAGAGAAUCCGGAAGAACGACCGGUGGCGAAGGCGGUGAGCUGGGCAGUUGCUGACACUGAGGUGCGAAAGCGUGGGGAGCAAACGAGG